rnacentral:rRNA from 1 species
AUUAUGGCUCAGGAUGAACGCUAGCUACAGGCUUAACACAUGCAAGUCAGGGGCAGCAUGUGGUGCUUGCAACCAAUGAUGGCGACCGGCGCACGGGUGAGUAACGCGUAUCCAACCUCCCCUUAGUAGAGGAUAGCCCGGCGAAAGUCGGAUUAAUACUCUAUGUUCUUCAAUGCGGACAUCUAAGUUGAAGCAAAGAUUUAUCGCUAAGGGAUGGGGAUGCGUCUGAUUAGGUUGCAGGCGGGGUAACGGCCCACCUGGCCUACGAUCAGUAGGGGUUCUGAGAGGAAGGUCCCCCACACUGGUACUGAGACACGGACCAGACUCCUACGGGAGGCAGCAGUGAGGAAUAUUGGUCAAUGGGCGUGAGCCUGAACCAGCCAAGUAGCGUGCAAGGACGACUGCCCUAUGGGUUGUAAACUGCUUUUAUCAGGGAAUAAAGUGAGGCACGCGUGCCUUUUUGUAUGUACCUGAUGAAUAAGGACCGGCUAAUUCCGUGCCAGCCGCUGC